ensembl:lncRNA
CCAGCAGCCUGAGUAGCCACACGGCUCUGGGCACAGUGUGUCUGGCAGGAGAGGAAACAAGUAAAGGUGCACAGAAGAAGCUGAGGAGCAUUUGGAGGUCCUGCUAGCAAAAAGAGCUUGGAUGCUGAAGGCCUUUGGAAGAGGGAAACCCCCCAGGUGGUGAAGUGGAGGAACACCAUCUCCAGGGGAAGCUCCAUCAGAAAGUCUGGGACUGCAAGUGCUGUCUGUCACCUUGCUCAUCUUGAGCCUGGUGAAAUGCUACAUCCACCUUUCCACAGCUAGCAGGAUGUGACCUUUGCAAAGGAGAAGAGGUGUAGGAAGAAAACGUAUUUUUUAGAAGUGAGUGCUUGAGAGAUUAUAAUUUAUGCAAAUCCUUUCAGGGUAGAUCUCAUUGGGGGUUUUUUUUGAACCAAAC